rnacentral:rRNA from 1 species
GUGGGGAAUAUUGGGCAAUGGGCGCAAGCCUGACCCAGCAACGCCGCGUGAGGGAAGAAGGCUUUCGGGUUGUAAACCUCUGUCCUUGGUGACGAAACAAAUGACGGUAGCCAAGGAGGAAGCCCCGGCUAACUACGUGCCAGCAGCCGCGGUAAUACGUAGGGGGCGAGCGUUGUCCGGAAUUACUGGGCGUAAAGGGUGCGUAGGUGGCCUUUUAAGUUGGAUGUGAAAUACCCGGGCUUAACUUGGGGGGUGCAUCCAAAACUGGGAGGCUAGAGUGCAGGAGAGGAAAGCGGAAUUCCUAGUGUAGCGGUGAAAUGCGUAGAUAUUAGGAGGAACACCAGUGGCGAAGGCGGCUUUCUGAACUGUAACUGACACUGAGGCACGAAAGCGUGGGGAGCAAACAGGAUUAGAAACCCCUGUAGUCC